UGUAGUACAGGUGUAACCUGUCCGUACAGUAACUCAGUCAUGUGGUGUAGUACAGGUGUAACCUGUCCGUACAGUCACUAAGUCAUGUGGUGUAGUACAGGUGUAACUCAGUCAUGUGGUGUAGUACAGGUGUAACCUGUCAGUAACUCAGUCAUGUGGUGUAGUACAGGUGUUACCUGUCCGUACAGUAACUCAGUCAUGUGGUGUAGUACAGGUGUAACCUGUCCGUACAGUAACUCAGUCAUGUGGUGUAGUACAGGUGUAACCUGUCCGUACAGUAACUCAGUCAUGUGGUGUAGUACAGGUGUAACCUGUCCGUACAGUAACUCAGUCAUGUGGUGUAGUACAGGUGUAACUCAGUCAUGUGGUGUAGUACAGGUGUAACCUGUCAGUAACUCAGUCAUGUGGUGUAGUACAGGUGUAACCUGUCCGUACAGUAACUCAGUCAUGUGGUGUAGUACAGGUGUAACCUGUCCGUACAGUAACUCAGUCAUGUGGUGUAGUACAGGUGUAACCUGUCUGUACAGUAACUCAGUCAUGUGGUGUAGUACAGGUUUAACCUGUCCGUACAGUAACUCAGUCAUGUGGUGUAGUACAGGUGUAACCUGUCCGUACAGUAACUCAGUCAUGUGGUGUAGUACAGGUGUAACCUGUCCGUACAGUAACUCAGUCAUGUGGUGUAGUACAGGUGUAACCUGUCCAUACAGUAACUCAGUCAUGUGGUGUAGUACAGGUGUAACCUUUCAGUAACUCAGUCAUGUGGUGUAGUACAGGUGUAACCUGUCCGUACAGUAACUCAGUCAUGUGGUGUAGUACAGGUGUAACCUGU
rnacentral:lncRNA from 1 species